UGGGCAACCUAUUGUAUUCAGGAGAUCAAC
rnacentral:piRNA from 1 species